rnacentral:rRNA from 1 species
GACGGAAGGUGCAAGCGUUGCUCGGAAUCACUGGGCGUAAAGGGUGCGUAGGCGGCCGUGCAAGUCUGGCGUGAAAGCCCCGGGCUCAGCCCGGGAAGUGCGCUCGAAACUGCGCGGCUCGAGUGCAGGAGGGGAGAGUGGAAUUCCUGGUGUAGCGGUGAAAUGCGCAGAUAUCAGGAGGAACACCGGUGGCGAAGGCGGGUCUCUGGGCCGAUACUGACGCUGAGGAGCGAAAGCGUGGGGAGCGAACAGG